rnacentral:rRNA from 1 species
UACCAGCACCCCGCAGUGGUCGGGGACGUUUAUUUGGCCUAAGGCAAUCCGUAGCCGGUUCUACAAGUCUUCCGUUAAAUCCAACUGCUUAACAGGUGGGCUGCGGAAGAUACUAUAGAGCUAGGAGGCGGGAGAGGCAAGCGGUACUCGAUGGGUAGGGGUAAAAUCCGUUGAUCCAUUGAAGACCACCAGUGGCGAAGGCGGCUUGCCAGAACGCGCUCGACGGUGAGGGAUGAAAGCUGG